UCAAAGUUGUUGUAGUCAUGGAAAAUAUACGCAGUUUCCAUGUUAAUUGUUAAUCAAAUUACAUGGUAAUUUCCUUUUUAUUGAAUAUUGUGGUCACACGAUGCAUUUAUUCCCCAAAUUUUUCAUUAUAAAUACAACUCUCAUUGUGGCUAUUGGAAGCACCACAAAUUUGAAACCAUUCGUUCAAUUCCUUUUGCGAAAAAAAAUAGCUUUGUUUUGUCAAAAGCCCUUAAUCUUUUUUUUCAGGAUGAGCAAUAAUACCAAUAUUCCAAAGGCUCUUACUCCUACAAGGCCUCCUCCACCUAAGGGCAAUACCUCCGGGGGUAAUAAGCCACCAUCUAACAAGGAUAUAUUUUACCCCAAGAAUAGAUAGUAGAUUUCCAAUUUCUGUCAAGGUUUAUGUACAACUGGGAUGGAAUUGUCAUGUUUCGUUACAAAAUGUGUUUGUUCCUUGUUUUUGAACUUAAUUAGGGUUUGAUCUUUAUAUAUAUCUGAUUCCAAUAAUAGAGAUUUGAUGGAGGGGACUGUUCUUAUAUAAUCUCUAUCUAUGUAGCAAGCAAUUCUAUUAGUCGUUUCUUCUUGUAAUUGUGUGUCAGUGUGUGUGUUCCUUCUUGUAAUCGUUGAAAAACUUUGAGCAAUUGAAUGCAUAUGCAAAACAAAAACUUUGGUAAUGAAAGUUAGUUAUGGUCA